GUACUGCUUCGGCAGUACAUAUACUAAAAUUGGAACGAUACAGAGAAGAUUAGCAUGGCCCCGCUUAGUAUGCCCCUUUUUUAUUUGCUUUGAGUAUUACAUUC